GACGAACGCUGGCGGCGUGCUUAACACAUGCAAGUCGAGCGGAGCGGCGAACGGGUGAGUAACGCGUGAGUAACUGCCCCCAUCUCUGGGAUAACAGUUGGAAACGGCUGCUAAUACCGGAUAGUGGGGGAUGACUCGCGUCCUCUCCGCUUGUUGGUGGGGUAGUGGCCUACCAAGGCGACGACGGGUAGCCGGCCUGAGAUGGCGACCGGCAACAUUUGGCUGAGAUACGGCCCAAACUCCUACGGUGGGCAGCAGUGGGGAAUAUUGCACAAUGGGCGAAAGCCUGAUGCAGCCCUGCGGGUGUAUGAAGAAGGCCUUGGGGUGGUAAAGUACUUUCAUCGAGGCGGGUUAAUAACCGCAGCGAUUGACGUUACUCGCAGAAGAAGCAUCGGCUAACUCCGUGCCAGCAGCCGCGGUAAUAC
rnacentral:rRNA from 1 species